AACAAAUAUAUACUAGUUCAGUGAUAAUGAACGCCAUACUAAUUUCCAAAUUGUACACAAGAAACUAAAAUUAAAAUAAUACAAGACUAACAAAGGCCAGAGGCUCCUGACUUGGGACAGGCGCAAAAAUGCGGCGGGGUUAAACAUGUUUGUGAGAUCUCAACCCUCCCCCUAUACCUCUAGCCAAUGUAGAAAAGUAAACGCAUAACAAUACACAUUAAAAUUCAGUUCAAGAGAAGUCCGAGUCUGAUGUAGAAGAUGUAACCAAAGAAAAUAAACAAAAUGACAAUAAUACAUAAAUAACAACAGACUACUAGCAGUUAACUGACAUGCCAGCUCCAGAC
rnacentral:lncRNA from 1 species